UGCCUCCUCGGGGCCCUGAUGACCGUUCUGGUGCUGUCCUUUGUGAUAUGCGUGUCUUGGCUGCUGGUGGAGAGGCAACGGCUCCCGGGGGCCGUGGGGUGCGGGAACGCGUCGCGGGGACAAAGCUUUGCCACCCUGGACUGCACCCACCUGGGGCUGAGGACGAGCCUGUGCCCCCCCGGAGACGGUGGGGGCUGCAAGCUCUGUCCCGUGGGGUGGACGCUGCACAGGAGCAAGUGUUUUUGGGUCGCCAGCAAGAGCAGCUCCUGGAGGGAGAGCCGGGAGAACUGCAGCCGUCAGAGCGCCCAGCUGCUGGUGCCAGAGGACCAGGGCGAGCUGGACUUCCUAAAUCGAGUCGUACAGAAACCCACGCGCUACUUCUGGAUCGGCCUCUCCCGGCCCUCCGUGGGGACGGGUUGGACCUGGCUGGAUGGCUCCCGCCUGGACCAGAGCCGGUUCAACCUGAGCACCCUGAACGCCAGCGGAGCCUGCGGGGUGCUGAGGGAGGACAGGAUCAUCUCCGAAACCUGCGGCUCUGCCUUGGCGUGGAUCUGCCAGAAAGAGGCCGUCCUGCUCUGAGCGGGGCAGAAAUUGGGCGGCCACUUGGGAAAAAAAAAAGAACAAAAAAGAAUCCACUUUGCUUUCAAAAUAAAGUCUCACCCCUGUGGGCUUCGUGUUCUCUGCUAGGGCUGCUGUAAUUUCAGCGUGCAGGGGGUAUUUUGGAAGGGAUGGCUGGUGUGAAGAGGGGGAAAUGAGGUUCUGGGAUUUUGGGGAGGCAGGUGAAAAGGCAGCUUUUUUCUUUUUUUCUUUUUUUUUUCUUUUUUUUCCCAGAAAUGCUAUGAAAACGUCGGCUUGUGCAACCCCGACCUUGUGAGCUCCAGAGGAGCUGGAGCUCAUCCCACCUGCAGAAUAAAUGCCUUUUUUUCUUUCUGUAGCCCUUGGCC
rnacentral:lncRNA from 1 species